UACGUAGGGUGCAAGCGUUAAUCGGAAUUACUUGGCGUAAAGCGUGCGCAGGCGGUUUUGUAAGUUUGUCGUGAAAGCCCCGGGCUCAACCUGGGAAUGGCGAUGAAGACUGCAAGGCUUGAAUCUGGCAGAGGGGGGUAGAAUUCCACGUGUAGCAGUGAAAUGCGUAGAGAUGUGGAGGAACACCGAUGGCGAAGGCAGCCCCCUGGGUCAAGAUUGACGCUCAUGCACGAAAGCGUGGGGAGCAAACAGG
rnacentral:rRNA from 1 species